rnacentral:rRNA from 1 species
CUAAUGCAUGCAAGUCGAGCGAGCUUGCCUAGAUGAAUUUGGUGCUUGCACCAAAUGAAACUAGAUACAAGCGAGCGGCGGACGGGUGAGUAACACGUGGGUAACCUGCCCAAGAGACUGGGAUAACACCUGGAAACAGAUGCUAAUACCGGAUAACAACACUAGACGCAUGUCUAGAGUUUAAAAGAUGGUUCUGCUAUCACUCUUGGAUGGACCUGCGGUGCAUUAGCUAGUUGGUAAGGUAACGGCUUACCAAGGCAAUGAUGCAUAGCCGAGUUGAGAGACUGAUCGGCCACAUUGGGACUGAGACACGGCCCAAACUCCUACGGGAGGCAGCAGUAGGGAAUCUUCCACAAUGGACGCAAGUCUGAUGGAGCAACGCCGCGUGAGUGAAGAAGGGUUUCGGCUCGUAAAGCUCUGUUGGUAGUGAAGAAAGAUAGAGGUAGUAACUGGCCUUUAUUUGACGGUAAUUACUUAGAAAGUCACGGCUAACUACGUGCCUGCAGCCGCGGUAAUACGUAGGUGGCAAGCGUUGUCCGGAUUUAUUGGGCGUAAAGCGAGUGCAGGCGGUUCAAUAAGUCUGAUGUGAAAGCCUUCGGCUCAACCGGAGAAUUGCAUCAGAAACU